AUGCUAAUCAAGGUGAUUAAUUACAACAUUCACGCCUGCUUCAAAGAAAAGUUCUUUCUCCCACUCUGGACCUUCUACAGAUAUAUAAACCCCACAUACCUAGCUUCCAAGUUCCCACAGACCUCACAAUCUCUGAAGGCCCCAAAGGUGGGCUCGUGUGGUGCGAAGGUGGGUCCGCGCCGGCCGGAAGGCCCAACAUGGGCACCGGGAGGCCCAGCGCGGCCACCAGAAGGCCCGAAAGAGAAGGAGGUGGAGAGUGGUGCCCUCCUCCCAGGACGAUGGCGCCCCCGGGACGAUGGCGCCACAGGCAAGUGCCUAUUUCGCCUUAUGGUUGGACCGCCUCUGAGGGCAGAUGAAAUAUUCCAUUUCCAAGCAACCUCUUCCUCCAGUGCCUUGUUUCUUUCAUGACUGUAGUUUCUUCCCUCCUACUGCCAUCUUUGUGUCAUAGUGCACAAACAAGAAACCUAAGUGAUAGAGAAGCAAGAGUUUUAUUUUGAAAGACUGCUUUUUGUUUAGUGGUCCAUGUAAGAAGGUCAUAACAGAGAAUCUUGCUACAGGUUUACAGUGGUCUUUAAUUGUUUCUAUGGUUUUAUGCUGAACUUUCCCUUUUUUUUAACUUCUGUGUACAAUAUCUUUUACAUAACAAUGCCAUUUAACGCAAGCACACUUUUUAGACAUGCAUAAUUUUCCAACACAGUAAUUUAUUUCCUAUACUUACACCCUGCCCUUCUCACCCCCGAAGGGCAACCUCACAACCGGCAGUAAUUCAGUGUCAACAUGCAUUCCAUGACUUUGGCCAAAUAGGAGAGAUUGGAAACUGGCCAAAAGUUGACUUUUUUUUUAACAGCUUCUUUCAAGCUGGCUGGAAUCUUGCCCUUCUGAAAGGAGGCAUUAACAACCAUCAUCUUCACCCACUCUGCCAAGCCCCCCUGGUCUCCUUUACCAGCCAGGAUGGACAGGGGUCUAGGUUGCCCUCGCCUCCCCCAAGGAUCUUGUCCACAUCUUGUCUGCACUUGAAACUAGGUCAGCCGGGAGAGGUGGACAACAACCUUGUGAACAGUAUUUUACCUACGACCGCAGGGAACUGCCAAAAGGCUAAAUGGAGGAUUACACAAAAACAAGUGCUGAGAGCACAAUAACCCCAAAUAAACAGUUCAAGGGAAGAUCUCAGGGUUUUACAUGUCUUUGCACUAAUACACAGAGCAUGAGAAAUAAGACGAAUUCCAACUUGUAGAACAACACAGUUACGAUGUCAUAGGCAUCACUGAAAUCUGGUAGGAUGACUCCCAUCACUGGAAUGUAGCCUUUGAGGGCUACAACCUCUUUCACAUAAACAGAACGAAGGGAAGAGGGAGAGUAGCCUUAUAUGUCGAAAAGGUUACAUUGCAGAUGACAUGCAAGACUGCAAUCCGGGAGACCAACUUGAAAGCCACUGGAUAAGAAUAAAGGGAACCGGGACUCAAAAAGAUUUCAUCAUGGGUGAGGAGGACUGAGGUGACAGGGAUGGAAUCCUUUUCUAUCCUACCGCUGCCACCAAUUGAAGAGAGCCCAAUUUGUGGUACUCAACUCAGGCAGGGGGAAAUCUUUGUCUAAAUCCCACUACUGCCUCCAAUUGAGGAGAUGUGCGCGCGUGUGAGAGGGAGGGAUGGAGGAUGUGUGAAUGUAUGGCAGGGAUGAUUUAGUGGAUAAGGAAGGAUAACGGAACUGAUUGGGUUUAAAUGAGUAAAGAUGGUAACUUAUAUAGGAAAGUACGGUAACUUAUAUAGAGAGGUACGGUAACUGCCACCAACGUGAGGUAACAGGCUUACAGAGAGGCAAGGAGACUUAUCUUUAUGAACAAUAACAAAAUUCAAGUUUAUUUUUGGUACAUAAGCGUAUGGUUUCAAUCAGUAAACGUUCCGGAUCUUAAGUUACAAUGUAGUCUUUCUUGAAUGGAUAUUUCUUAAAUAACUUCUCUUCAACACAGUAUACUAAACUCCCCCGGUCAGCUUAUAUUCCCAGCCUUUCCCCUGAGUGACCAUAAGCUGCCGUCCUUAGCUGAUUUCCACAGCUCCUAAUCUUUCCAAAACCUAACCGCAACUGUCCUUUUUAAACCCUCACAGCAACUGAACUUUUAAAAGGGAAUAUGCUCCAACUGUCAUCUUAGCCACGCCCCUUUUCUCCCAAGGGAAGCUGUGUUACCAUGGCAACCUACCAAAUGCUGCUUCCAGCUAGUUUCCAUGUUAGGCUUUUCCUUGCUAAUAUAUAACCCUUUUUUUUCUUUUAACAAACAAAUAAAUAAAAUCAUAUCAAUAAUCUCUGUUUAACACACAACUUCUCUACAAUGGGCAUCUACUACAGGCAUCCGAGCCAUGAUAAAGAACUCAAUGAAGCCUUCUGUCAGCAGUUGACCAAACAGGCACAAAGAAGAGAUAUACUAGUCAUGGGCGAUUUCAACUAUCCUGUUAUCUGCUGGAAAACAAACAAGAGUACAAAGUCCAACAAAUUCCUCACUUGUAUUGCAGACAGUUUUGUGGUCCAGAAGGUAGAGGAGGCAACAAGGGUAUCGGGCACUCUUGAUCUCAACAAACGCAGAGGACCUGAUAGAUGCAGUCGAAGUGGUUGGAGCCUUAGGGGCAAGUGACCAUGUGCUCCUGCAGUUUGCCAUACAAAGGAAGGUUGAAACUAAGACAAGUCAAACUCAUAUUCUGGAUUUUAGGAGAGCUGACUUCCAAAAAAUGAGUGGCAUUCCAUGCAUACCAAUGCUAAAAGACAAGGAAGUUAAGGAUGGAUGGGAGUUUUUGAAAAGUGAAAUACUCAAGGCACAAAUGCAAACAGUGCCAACAAAGAAAAAAAAGUUAUGUGCAAAGAAGUCGGAAUGGAUGUUCAAAGAACUUCUAACUGGGCUAAGACUCAAAAGAGACAUGCACAAAAAGUGGAAAAGGGAGAAAAUCUUAUCUUUUGUAACAUUAAAAUAUAAAUCCAUUACAAUGCUCCGUAGUCAAAUCAAUUAUACAUAACUCAAUUAUUGUAAACAAAGCACACACAACGAAGAUUUAGUUUAAUCAACAUGGGCAUCCAUAUAAUGGAAAAUAGUAAAUUGUCACUUUUAAUUAACUUCACAUAAAUAACUGGAAGAGUGUUCUUUUACUAUGCAGUCUGAAGUGUCUAGAGUUAAUAUAAAGCAGACUGUGGUUGUGUGGCAUGAUUCUGUUUUCUAAUUUUGAGAUGAAAUUCUUCCUCAAAACAGACAGAUGUUUCAAACUGGUUCGAUGAGCUAAUGGGGAAAAUGUUGCCUCAGUGUUAGGUGUGGUUCAGUAUUGGUUUGGAUGCUGAAAAAAUAUCCCUGGUUCAAACGAACAUUCAUCUUAAAAUGCACUCUGGGUGGCCUUCAUCCAAUUACUAAGCCUCAUCUACUUCACAGGAUUCUUGUGAAGUUAAAAUGCUAUCCUGUGUUGCAUGGAGAAUGCUGAAUAUUUUAAUUGAACUUGUAUAUGCAACUCAUUUUUGUUUUCUAUAAUCCUGUCCUGUGGGUGGCAUCUAUCAUACUAGAUAUUAGUGGAAAGAGUAAAUUUCAUUAUAGAAAUUGAAUUUUUCACUAAUUCUAAAAUGUACUUAUGCUGAGUUGCUUUAAGAAAUAAAAAACAGCUACGGUGUAUAGAGCUGACAUUUGGGACAAAAAUAAUUCGCCCCAAUUUAACCAGGGCAGGAUCAAUCCUGGUUAGUACUUGGAUGGGAGACAGCCAAUGAAUACCAGGUGCUGAAGGCUGUAUUUCUGAAGUAGAAACUCUUCCUCGCCUAAUGAAACCUGCAUGAAAUUCAUGGGGCUGCCGCAAGUCAACAGCCAACCUGAAGGUGCAUGCACUCUUGAGAACCAAGUCAUUUCCAGUUUUUUUUAAGACAGGUUCAUUGGUCUAUACAACUUUAACAAUCCCGUUUCCCAGCCUCAUAUGUAUUAUUUCUAUGUCAGCUUUUGGGGUUUUCCAAUUACAACAUACUCCCAAAACUGAAAUGCCAAUUUUACCCAGGACUAGAUUUACAUGAAAAGGUACAAAGUAGUAUAUGACCUCAUUGAGAUUUAAAACCACAGUGUUGUCCAUCUCACAUUGCUUCAUAUUCAUAAAGUGUGUAACGCCUUAACAGAUGUUGCCAAUGAUUAAGAAUGAUACUGUAAAAUAUUAUUAUUAUUAUAUUAUUAAUAUAAUAAUAUUAUUGUGUUUGUUUACAAUUUACACUCCAUGCACUCACAUCAUAGAAUCUAAUCGAUGGAAGAGAUCAAAGGGCCAUUCAGUCCACACUCCUGCCAAGAACAUACCAUCAAAGCACUCCAAACAGAUGGCCACCCAGCCUCUGUUCCAAAACCUCCAAAGACAUUCCACCAUACUCCAGGGCAGCAUAUUCCUUUGUUGAAUAGCUCUUACCUUCAGAAAUAGUCUCCUUAAUGUUUAGGUAGAAUACUUUUCUGUAGUUUUGUGUCAGUGCCCUGUGUCUGUAGUACCAAAAAAUAAGCUUGCCCCCUCUUCAAUAUGACAUUCUUUCAAACAUUUAAAUAUGGCUAUCAAAACUCCUCUUAACCUUAUCUCCUCCAAGCUAAACAUAGCCAGCUCGCUAAGCCUCUUGCUCCCCAUAGGGCUUGGCUUCCAAUAUCCUUCUUGAAUUCUGGUGCCCAAAACUAGACACAGUAUUUAUUGCUGUAACUGACAAUUCACUUCACUUUAUUUCUUAAUUAGUUGCUUUCCACCAGAGUGCUCCGAGCAACUUACAAUUUAAAAUAUCAUUCCACAAUAUAAAAACAUUCAACAUAAAAACAUUCAACAGUGACUA
ensembl:lncRNA